ensembl:lncRNA
GCAGAGCAAGGGGAACUUUAGGUCUCAGAGCGAGUGACAUGACCUGAUUGAAACGCUUUUAACUCGGUUACACAUGCACAUGUAUUAGUGAUCCUAAUAUUGGGCCUAAGCUUUCAUGGCUAACCAUCUAACAAUUCGUGUUUGGUGAGGCCAAUGUAGUGAAAGUAAUAUGUGUAACGUUACAAUUGGUUAUAAAAGAGAUUAACUACAAAAAACACUCGGAAUGCAUCAGAUCACCUAUCCCGUUGUUUGAUGUUUGUGUAGAGUUUGGCUCCUUGUUUGCACAUUGAUAGGGGACAUAAGUCAAACUUAAUUUGGUUUAGCACUUACAAGCACUCCUUGUAAUUCUAGUAAUCAAUUAAUUAUUAAACAAAAGUGUACAAUGUAUAGAAUCAAACAUAUUUUUGAUUUACUUGUACUAUCACAAUUUAUUUUAGAACACAAGUGUUAAUUUAUAGGCGGCGGCAUCAUUUCAGGAAGUGGCUUGAUCAGGACUGUGCUUCUGAAACUCUACUUCAUUCAACAGCUUUCCAAGCUGGAGUGAGUAGCUUGGCAAAAUAUGAUUGGAAAUCCAAAAGCAUUAUUCUUCAAUGGAUGAAGUGGAACUGUUGCUCUGGAGUUCAUGAGACUGACUGGUGUCUGUGGACCUCAAGAAGACAUUUUAUGAAGGCCUGGACAGUCUUGACAAAGACAGUUCCAAUCAAAGGAAGAGAAACGCUGUGCUCCGAGGCUUGCCAUACUUCCUGCGAGAAGACCCUACCAAUUUUUUUUAAGACGUGAGAAGACAACUGAUUCUGAGGAAGGCACCCGCGGAGUGAAAAUCGGUGUCGUUGUGGAUGGAGCUGAAGCAGGUGACCCAAUGCCAGCUCAUGUGGGUACAUGAGCUUCACAAUGUCCCAAAUGCCUUUGCCACUUUGAUUGGACUUCUUUAAUGUCUGAAUAUGGAUUACUCAAAAUGUUUGAGGUCUACUUUUGAGGUAGUUCAGAAAAUAUUCUUGAAGAUUGGUGCAGAAAACUACAGCAAAGGUCCAUAGGCUGAACCGUCUUCUUCAUUAAGACAACUAAUUAGUGUGUUUUUGUUUUACUCGCAGUAGUUGAGUUCAUUCCUCGGACAACGAUGCUGUUAUUUGCCUAAAUCUUACAAAUCUCCGUUUUGGGAAGUCUUAAGUUACCCUAUUUUUAUGUGUGACCUUCAGUCUACAAACUGAAGGUCAAAAAAGUGCAUUCUGAAAAUGUUUACACCAUGUUAGAUUUUUUCACACUCAACACCAACUUGUCAUAUAAACCGUUCUGAAGGUUGUCAUUUCUCAGUGUUUUAAUUUUUAUUUACCGUGCCAUAACCAUGUUUCAAUAGUUCCAUUUACAAGUGUAUGGGUUUCUUGGACAGUAAAAAAAAAAGUUUGACAAAACAUUUAUCUUUAUAAAAAAAAAUCUUAGGUGAUAUUGGUUAAGACCAAUUAGUGACAGCAGAAUUUGGAUUCCUGUUUAAAUGCACCCAAAGACAUGCACCUAAAAACAUGCAUUGUUAGAUUUUUUUUCUCUCAUGACAAUCAAAAUGCGUUCUAGGGAACAAUACAUCGUUGCAAAUGUAUUUGUUUGUUAAUACAUAGUGUAAUAAAUGUUCUGAAAUACACAAUAGGACUAUUUUGUUGUUAUUACAAGCUAGAUGGAAUUAAUUGAUUUCGAUGUAAGUUGUUGAAUCGAUCAAUGAACUCUUGAUAGUAAAUCAAUCAUUGGAAAUAUAAAGCCAUUUUAAAAUGGAGAUCAGCUUUACUAAAUCUGAACUUUGUUCAACUGUACAUACUGGGUUAUUUUAAGUUUACAUAUCUUAUUAAAGUAAUUUUGUUGAGUUAGAACAGUGGUUCUCUACUUGCAGCCUGUGGCAAGCUUGUCUGUUAUGUCAUUAAUAGUAUAGUUAUUUAUUUGCUUGACUUGCUCAUAGUCACAGUGUAGCACCACCAGCCAAACAGGUUGAGAACUGUUACAAUAACGCAAUGAAGUAGGCUUGACUUUAAUUGUUAAGUCUUUUAAAUGCUCAGAGCCUUUUUCAUGCUCAGAGCACUUAACAUGUCACGUUACCCUUGCUUAGACCAUUCUGUUAUGUAACCUUUAAAUGUAGUAAUGAAAACUGUAUUACUAGUUACAAUAACUUAAUUGCAAGUUGACUUAACAAAAUGUGAAAUUAAUUCAACUAAAAAUGGUCGGUUAUACUGACAUGAUGAUGUGGACUUAAAUGUUUUUUAUUUGUCAACAGUAAUGUAGCUUUAGUUAUUAGAACUCCACAUUUGUUAACAUAAAGGUUUAAGUUUUUUCAAAUAAUGUUAAAUGAACAAUUAACAAAUGUCAAAUUAACCGUCUAUUAUUAGUCAAAAUAAAUGUAAUAAAAGCUAGGGUAACGUGAAGUACUCUGAGCUUGAAAAAGGCAAUGCAACCAGAUCACUGGAAAUAAUAAGUUGAAACAAUAAAUCAUUUUUAUAGCCUACUUGGUCCCUUCGUGACAAUUUCAACCCUUUCA